GAUGAAGAACGUAGCGAAAUGCGAUACUUGGUGUGAAUUGCAGAAUCCCGUGAACCAUCGAGUCUUUGAACGCAAGUUGCGCCUCAAGCCAUUAGGUUGAGGGCACGUCUGCCUGGGCGUCACAUAUCGUUGCCUGAUGCCAGUUUCCUCGUGAUGGGUGACUGUGCAGGGCGAAUGAUGGCUUCCCGUGAACAUUGUUCCUCAUGGUUGGUUGAAAAUUGAGUCCUUGGUAGGGAGCGCCGUGAUAGAUGGUGGUUGAGUGACGAACGAGACCCAAUCAUGUGAGACCCCUACCGAAUUUGGCCUUCAUGACCCACAUGCGUCUUUGGAACGCUCAUGACGAGACCUCAGGUCAGGCGGGGCUACCCGCUGAGUUUAAGCAUAUCAAUAAGCGGAGGA
rnacentral:misc_RNA from 1 species